UGGCGAACGGGUGAGUAACGCGUGAGGAACCUGCCUCAAAGAGGGGGACAACAGUUGGAAACGACUGCUAAUACCGCAUAAGCCCACGACCCGGCAUCGGGAAGAGGGAAAAGGAGCAAUCCGCUUUGAGAUGGCCUCGCGUCCGAUUAGCUAGUUGGUGAGGUAACGGACCACCAAGGCGACGAUCGGUAGCCGGACUGAGAGGUUGAACGGCCACAUUGGGACUGAGACACGGCCCAG
rnacentral:rRNA from 1 species